CUUUCUUUUGAGUCUGUUUCUUCCUUGGAGCCAGUUACGCCAACAGAUUUGAAUGGAACAGCAGUGAUUUUCACACUCUUGUGUUUGCUUCUGCCGUGUGCCAGUUGUGCCAGAAAUUCUAAACAAGAUGGUAGUAUUUGACUAGAGGCUGUGUCUUGAGGGUGAUCAGAAGGGAAUUUGGAAAUCAGAAAUUUCAUCAUUUCCUUAGAAGGCACAAAUCAUUAUACGAGAAGAGGCAAAACGGCAAAACCCUAGAGGCGAUUCAUCUGUUUUGUGGCUCAAUUUCAUCAAAUCAUUCGAUCUCCCAUCUACACUCAGGCAUGGAUAAUGGGGUAUCCAGUUCUCGUAAGAAAAAGAAUGACAAGGUUGAUUCGUCAAAACAAAGGCGAAUUUGGAGCCCAUGUGAAAAGGAUGUUCUAAUUUCAGCAUUAGUGUCCAUUGUUAAUGAAGGAAUGAAAGUUGAUAAUGCUUUUUAAGGUGGGCUAUCUUGCGAGACUGGAAACUAAAUUGGCAGAUAUCUUACCUGGGACAGACUUACAGCAGUCCCCAUAUUGAAUCAAAAAUUAAAAUAUGGAAGAAGCACUAUAAUUCUGUGUCCGGUAUGCUUGCUACUAGUGGGUUUGGAUGGAAUGGCACCGAAAAAAGAAUCGAUGUGGAGAGUGAUAGUGUAUGGGAGGCAUAUGCUUGGAGGGACACUGAAGCAAAACACUUGAGGAACAAAACUUUCCCAUAUUUUGAUGAAUGGAUUCAAAUAUUUGGCAAGGACCGAGCUACAGGGGAGUUUGCUGAAGGGCCUGCUGAUGCAGUUGAGAUUAUGAAUGCUGAGGAAGUGUGUUGUUGCAUGGCCUUGCAGAUAAUGACACUUUUUUUGAACAAAAGGGAGUAAAUAGUCACACUGGUGAAGGAAUGGAUUGUUCAAACUCAGCAACUCAAUUGGCUUGUGAGAGCUCUGCCAAAAAGAAAGACAAGAAAAGAUCUAGAUCUGAUAAUGAUGUAGUUGAAGAGCUGUCUAUGUUUGCUGACAAGUUAAUGGAUGUCAUGGGUAAAACCAAUGAGAAGUUGGAAUUCAUUGGAAAAAGGAUGGGGUAUUCACAUGAUGUCGCAUCAAAACGAGCAUCAUUGAAUGAUGAACUUACAAAGUUGCCAAUUAUCGUAGAUGAAAGGUUAGAUGCUUGCGAAAUCAUAUCCUAUGAUGUCCAAAAGCUUGACAUGUUCUUCAACUUGACACGUGAUGAUAGGCUGAGGUGGGUAAUGAGGUUGCUAAGUAGGAAUGCUCCAUAACAAACUUGUGGCAUGUGAUGGGAAUAUUUGGUUUUUGAGUUAUGCUCCGUAGACUUAAUUGUUGUUUUUUCUAUUCGUCAAGCACCAUAUUUUGUGGGUUAAAUUAUUCUAUCAUGAUUUGGUGCCUUUGACUCAUCUAGUCAUGGGAUAUUUUUGUUUUUGUUG